rnacentral:rRNA from 1 species
CUACGGGAGGCUCCAGUGGGGAAUAUUGCACAAUGGGCGCAAGCCUGAUGCAGCCAUGCCGCGUGUAUGAAGAAGGCCUUCGGGUUGUAAAGUACCUUCAGCGGGGAGGAAGGGAGUAAAGUUAAUACCUUUGCUCAUUGACGUUACCCGCAGAAGAAGCACCGGCUAACUCCGUGCCAGCAGCCGCGGUAAUACGGAGGGUGCAAGCGUUAAUCGGAAUUACUGGGCGUAAAGCGCACGCAGGCGGGUUGUUAAGUCAGAUGUGAAAUCCCCGGGCUCAACCUGGGAACUGCAUCUGAUACUGGCAAGCUUGAGUGUCGUAGAGGGGGGUAGAAUUCCAGGUGUAGCGGUGAAAUGCGUAGAGAUCUGGAGGAAUACCGGUGGCGAAGGCGGCCCCCUGGACGAAGACUGACGCUCAGGUGCGAAAGCGUGGGGAGCAAACAGGAUUAGAUACCCGGGUAGUC